UACCCAUAUAUACUGUGUUCUGGUCUUGAAUUUUCUAUAUCACCCACUUAUCUGAUGCAGGAGGAUUGCUUGAGGCCAGGAGUUUGAGACCAGCCUGGGCAAUUCAGCGAGAUUCCAUCUCUACAAAACCAAAACAAGGCCGGGCACAGUGGCUCACACCAGUAAUCCCAGCACUUUGGGAGGCUCAGGAGGGAGGAUCUCCUGAGGUCAGGAGUUCAAGACCACCCUGGCCAACAUGGCAAAACCCCGUCUCUACUAAAAUUACAAAAAAUUGACUGGGCAUGGUGGCAGCUGCCUGUAAUCCCAGCUAGUCAGGAGGCUGAGGCAGGAGAAUCGCUUGAACCCAGGAGGCGGAGGUUGCGGUGAGCCGAGAUCACGCCACUGCACUUCAGCCUGGGCGACAAGAGCGAAACUCCGUCUCAAAAAAAAAAAAAAAAAAACUAAAAACAAACCAAACCCAAACGGACAUUUGGGUUGGUUCCAAGUCUUUGCUAUUGUGAAUAGUGCCGCAAUAAACAUACCUGUGCAUGUGUCUUUAUAGCAGCAUGAUUUAUAAUCCUUUGGGUAUAUACCCAGUAAUGGGAUGUCUGGGUCAAAUACUAUUGCCAUUCUAACUGGUGUGAGAUGGUAUCUCAUUGUGGUUUUGAUUUGCAUUUCUCUGAUGGCCAGUGAUGAUGAGCAUUUUUUCAUGUGUCUGUUGGCUGCAUAAAUGUCUUCUUUUGAGAAGUGUCUGUUCAUAUCCUUUGCCCACUUUUUGAUGGGGUUGUUUGAUUUUUUCUUGUAAAUUUGUUUAAGUUCUUUGUAGAUUCUGGAUACUAGCCCUUUGUCAGAUGGAUAGAUUGUAAAAAUUUUCUCCCGUUCUGUUGGUUGCCUAUUCACUCUGAUGGUAGUUUCUUUUGCUGCGCAGAAGCUCUUUAGGUUUUUUUUUUUUGAGACGGAGUUUCGCUCUUGUUGCCCAGGCUGGAAUGCAAUGGCACGAUCUCGGCUCACCGCAACCUCCGCCUCCCA
rnacentral:lncRNA from 1 species